UCUGCCCUUAGAAGCACUACAAAUGUGGCUGCUGUGUGCCUGCAGUUGUGUCAGUAGGCGCAGAGAGGAGAAAGUCUAUGUCUAUGCUCAGUGCUUUGACCUAUGACUAUCUGAAUGAUUAGUAGCCUGAAAAG
ensembl:snoRNA Gm22272 predicted gene, 22272